rnacentral:rRNA from 1 species
CCUACGGGUGGCAGCAGUCGAGAAUAAUUCACAAUGGGGGAAACCCUGAUGGGGCGACGCCGCGUGGGGGAAUGAAGGUCUACGGAUUGUAAACCCCUGUCAUGGGGGAGCAAAUUAAAAAGAGAGUACCACAAGAGGAAGAGACGGCGAACACUGUGCCAGCAGCCGCGGUAAUACAGAGGUCUCAAGCGUUGUUAGGCACCACUGGGCGUAAAGCGUGCGUAGGCGGUUGCGUAUGUCGUGUGGGAAAGGCGCGGGCUCAACCCCCGGACGGCACCUGAUCCUGCGAGCCUAGAGUAAUGUAGGGGCAACCGGAAUUCUCGGUGUAGCGGUUACAUGCGUAGAUAUCGGG